rnacentral:rRNA from 1 species
UUGGGAAGAACACCAGUGGCGAAGGCGCUCUACUGGGCCGUAACUGACGCUGAGGGACGAAAGCUAGGGGAGCGAAAGGGAUUAGAUACCCCUGUAGUCCUAGCUGUAAACGAUGGAUACUAGGUGUUGGACGUAUCGACCCGUUCAGUACCGCAGCCAACGCGAUAAGUAUCCCGCCUGGGGAGUACGCACGCAAGUGUGAAACUCAAAGGAAUUGACGGGGGCCCGCACAAGCGGUGGAGUAUGUGGUUUAAUUCGAUGCAACGCGAAGAACCUUACCAGGGCUUGACAUCCCUCGAAUCUCUGUGAAAGCGGAGAGUGCCUUCGGGAGCGAGGAGGCAGGUGGUGCAUGGCUGUCGUCAGCUCGUGUCGUGAGAUGUUGGGUUAAGUCCCGCAACGAGCGCAACCCACGUCCUUAGUUGCCAUCAUUCAGUUGGGCACUCUGGGGAGACUGCCGGGGACAACUCGGAGGAAGGUGUGGAUGACGUCAAGUCAUCAUGCCCCUUACGUUCUGGGCUACACACGUACUACAAUGCUUCGGACAAAGGGCAGCCAACUAGCGAUAGUGAGCUAAUCCCAUAAACCGAGGCACAGUUCAGAUUGCAGGCUGCAACUCGCCUGCAUGAAGGAGGAAUCGCUAGUAAUCGCCGGUCAGCAUACGGCGGUGAAUACGUUCCCGGGCCUUGUACACACCGCCCGUCACACCAUGGGAGUUGGCCACGCCCG